AACGUAGGACGCAAGCGUUAUCCGGAGUUACUGGGCGUAAAGCGCGGGCAGGCGGUCUGACAAGUCUGAUGUGAAAUCUCCGGGCUUAACCGGGAGAGGCCAUUGGAAACUGACAGGCUGGAGGGCAGUAGAGGUAGGCGGAAUUCCGGGUGGAGUGGUGAAAUGCGUAGAGAUCCGGAGGAACACCAGCGGCGAAGGCGGCGUCCUGGACUGGUACUGACGCUCAGGAGCGAAAGCGUGGGGAGCGAUCCGG
rnacentral:rRNA from 1 species